CCAGCAGUGCCACCAUAGCCAGGGCCAACACCCCCUGCUGGAACAAUGGACACAUUACAGCCUGCAUCACUUAAUAAAAUGCACUUCUCUGAUCAGACUGGUCUCAACAGCAGUCAGUGUAGCAAUGCUCCAUUUAAACUGACCUGGUAGGCUGCCCGCUCCUCCUCCUUGACCUGUUCCUGCAGGACCUCCUGGCCCUCCUGUCCCUCCUGCUACACUACCUGGGCAGCCUUGGCCCUCUGGUCUGAAGCCUCCUGUUCCUGUGCCAGCGCCACCUGGUCCAAAGCCACCGGUUCCUGUGACAGCACCACCUGGUC